UUUCAAUCUCAAUGCAUUAGGACUCUAGUAUAGAGUUCAAUGGGAACAGAUAAAUUGUGACAUUACAAAAAUAUUUGCCUCCUGUUUUGAAUACGAUAGAGGAUAGCGUCAUUAAAUUGGAAAAAUGAUUAAAUUAAAGCAGGAUAUUAAUCUGGAAGAUUAUACUCUUAUUUUGCCAUCGGUAGCGGUUGGAAACGUCGGGCAAUUGUCCGUCGACUUGCUUAUUUCAAAUCUUAACCUUCAAAAAAUUGGUCAGAUCUUCAGCGCGGCAUUUGUGCCUAUCAUCGGCGCAAACGCUUAUCACGAAUGUUCAAACGAGCUUAUUACAGCGAUCGACGUCUAUGCAGGAUUCAAGGAACAUGUUGUUGUUGUGCAGAUUCGUUCGCCGUAUGUGGGAGAGCUAACCGAAUUUUUCGACGAACUGGCGCGAUUCGUCAUUGAAAGAAAAAUAGCUAAAGUAAUAAUUCUUGCGAGCAGUUAUGAUUACGAAAAGAGAGAUAUCCAGCCGCAGCAUUUCAAAUUGAGAUACGUCGCAUCUUCUGGCAUACAAUCUGAGAGUGGUCAGCUUUUCGAUGAUCUCAAUUGGAUUCCACAUAAACCAAAAGUUAUAUCUGAUACAAGGGAAGAGGGAAAGUUACAGAUACCAGGAGGUGGAUUUGCAAAGAGUAUCUUUAACUUUUUAUCACAUGCCAAUAUUCCUUGUGCAAUCUUAUUCAAAUUCUGUUCCGAGGGAGAUAAUAUCGCAGAUGCGAUAGCUCUGGUGUGUUACUUAAAUCAAUGGAUACAAGUGUUAGAAACAAACAGUGGUGAUAAUUUAAAAUAUCCACCAUCUUGGAAACACCUAUUUGGAAAACCACCGCCACAUGACAUAUAUUAAACAUAUUAUAAUGUCCUAUAUGUUACUUUGUUAAUUUUAUAAUAUAAUAAUAUUUUUGCUAAGAUUGUAUACAAACUAUAUCUAAUGUAGAGAGUUUAACAAAUUAUUUAAAACAAGAAAAUGCCGAAUAGGAUACAAAACUAGCUAAGAAAGCAGCCAAAAAUUCAGAAUUCACCCAAGGACCAAGAUAUACGCCUGGAUUGUUGAGGACAACUACUGCCAAAGGACUCACACUAUCACUAUCCUCUCCGUUCCUUAUGGCUUUGCGAACAGCGUUGUAUUUAUCUCCGUCAUAUAAUUUUAUGUAGUAAUCGCCAGAUCUCGCUUUUUUGAUAUCUUCUGUCCAAGAUAUCUGUAACGUGCAAAACAAAUGUGUUACAA